UAAGUGUACAGUGUUUAUAAAGUCUACAGUAGUGUGCAGUGAUGUCCUAGGGCUUCCCAUUUCUUCAUCCCUCACUGACUCAUACAGAGCAACUUCUAGUCCUGCAAACUCCACUUAUGGAUAAAAUACAGUUUCUGGCCCUUCCUCUGUAGUUCAGCUUUCUAAGUAACCUCUCUGCUUUGAGGAGCUUAGGAGAAAGAGAUGAGUUCAUAUUCCUGCCAAAAGAGGAAAUUUGAAAACAACAAAAGCCAUAGGCUUCCAGCCAGAGGAUAAAGAUGAAGAAAAAGAAGCCUUAUGAGUACUUCUCAAGGCCAUUAAAGAUUCUGUGUAAUCCGUUGCCAUCCCACAAGUACACCUACAGGCCUGUGUGAUGAGAACUGAUGUUCAGCAUGAGAACUCACAGACACUGCAAGAUUUUCAAUCAUCAAAUAUUCAAUUAUGUUCUCUGUGUUCUGUUUACUAAAGCAGGGAAGCAGACAUAUAAAAAAUGGUUUUCCAUAAUGGGAAUUGGUUUUAGUUUCACAGACACCGUACUCUCCUGGUUGUGUUUGUUUGCUAGUGUAAUUUAAGCCCUUACCAGCCAGCAUCUAAGACGAUGUAGAAAAUAUUGAACAUUUGCUUUUAGAUGAUCUGAAAGCAGAAUAACAUAAAAUGAGUAUUUUAGUUUUAACCACUCACUCUACAGUAUCUACUUCCAGCCUUACAAUCAUCCAUCCAUCCAUCCACUUAUUGUUAUUGUGUACACUAGCUUUUAACAUAGAUCAAUAGAAAUUAACUGUGAUAGAAUUUACUGCAUUACGAUUCACUUUAUGUGUAACAUUCAAACAUUUCUACUUAACGAUGAUAAGAAGGGUGAUGAAGUAGAUACUUACCAUUUGCUAGCUAUUGUCCUAGAUGGUUUGCAUGUUUAUGUGCUUUUAAUCCCAACAGAACUAUGAAGGAGGUAUUAUUAAUUGCCCUCAUUUGAUAAGUAAGGAGAAUUGAAGUUACUGAAACAAAGCCCUACAGUUAAGAAGGGGUGGAACUGGGACUUGAACACAAGACUGUGACUUUAAGGACUACUGCCUUUUCUACAUACUAGCUAUAAUCCUUCAGUUUUGAAAAUUUUUAGUUAAUAAUUACAGUUAGUGUGCAUAUUAUACUUUAUGUUUUGUAAAGGAUAUAUCGUCUGCCUCUACUUCUCUCACCAUCCCCAGGAGUAUGUGUUAGUGGUCUUGGCCUCAUGCAUAGGUAUCUUCAUGUCAAAUCUGGUGUUCUUUCCACUGUGGGAAAUCAUAGCAAAUGCUGUUAGAGCUCACCCUGUCCACUCAAGUCUUACCAUUUCAUCGUAGACCAGCUGAAGUCAACCGCCAAUCUCAUAUCCCAUUCACUGAAGGCUUUUCCUGGCUGCUGGAGCCAAUCUACCUACAUGCUCAGCAGACCUAAAUUGCCAGGUUAUUAUUAUUAUUUUUUGAAAUGGAGUCUCAC